AGAGCGAACGCUGGCGGCAGGCCUAAUACAUGCAAGUCGAACGCACCUUCGGGUGAGUGGCGGACGGGUGAGUAACACGUGGGAACGUGCCUUUUGGUUCGGAAUAAUCCGGGGAAACCUGGCCUAAUACCGGAUGUGCCCUUCGGGGGAAAGAUUUAUCGCCAUUAGAGCGGCCCGCGUCUGAUUAGCUUGUUGGUGGGGUAAUGGCCCACCAAGGCUACGAUCAGUAGCUGGUCUGAGAGGAUGAUCAGCCACACUGGGACUGAGACACGGCCCAGACUCCUACGGGAGGCAGCAGCAGGGAAUCUUGCGCAAUGGGCGAAAGCCUGACGCAGCCAUGCCGCGUGAAUGAUGAAGGUCUUAGGAUUGUAAAAUUCUUUCAGCGGGAAGAUAAUGACUGUACCCGCAGAAGAAGCUCCGGCUAACUUCGUGCCAGCAGCCGC
rnacentral:rRNA from 1 species